CACUCCUGCGGGAGGCAGCAGUGGGGAAUUUUGGACAAUGGGCGAAAGCCUGAUCCAGCAAUGCCGCGUGAGUGAAGAAGGCCUUCGGGUUGUAAAGCUCUUUUGUCAGGGAAGAAACGGUGAGAGCUAAUAUCUUUUGCUAAUGACGGUACCUGAAGAAUAAGCACCGGCUAACUACGUGCCAGCAGCCGCGGUAAUACGUAGGGUGCAAGCGUUAAUCGGAAUUACUGGGCGUAAAGCGUGCGCAGGCGGUUUUGUAAGUCUGAUGUGAAAUCCCCGGGCUCAACCUGGGAAUUGCAUUGGAGACUGCAAGGCUAGAAUCUGGCAGAGGGGGGUAGAAUUCCACGUGUAGCAGUGAAAUGCGUAGAUAUGUGGAGGAACACCGAUGGCGAAGGCAGCCCCCUGGGUUAAGAUUGACGCUCAUGCACGAAAGCGUGGGGAGCAAACAGGAUUAGAAACCCGAGUAGUCCCAUGA
rnacentral:rRNA from 1 species